rnacentral:lncRNA from 1 species
AAAAUAAAAAAUAUUAUGUUUGUUUUCGUAAAGAAUAGCAUGUAAUGUAGAUCGGAUUGGUUCAAUUAAGAUAGUAUGCAGCCUUAUUGUAAGCAUAUCUUUACAUAUAUACCUUCUCUCCAACUCAUUUUGGUUUAAAUCUAUGUAUCACAGACACUUCAAUAAGCCUCGUGUGUUUGUAUAUAUCGGACACACGCAUCUCAGUGUCGGACUUAAUAUUCUGUUUGUUUUCGUAAAGAAUAGCAUGCAAUGUAGAUCGGAUUGGUUCCAUUAAGAUAGUAUGCAGCCUUAUUGUAAGCAUAUCUUUACAUAUAUACCUUCUCACCAACUCAUUUUGGUUUAAAUCUAUGUAUAACAGACACUUUAAUAAAUCUCGUGUGUUUGUAUCGGACGCGCGCAUCUCUGUGUCGGACUUAUGUCCCACGUGGACACACUAUGGGCGUGCGUUCGACACAGGUCUAUUACACAUCCCAUUAAAAAAAAUUUAUUUUUAUUUUUAUUUUUAUUUUUUUAUGCAUAUAUAAUAUAAAAAGAGACAUAUUUUGGCCCUAGAGCAAGUGGCAAAGGGUUUGAUGGUUGGUACUCAAGACCCAAGUUCGAAUCCUAGUUGAUUCACAUUUCCAGCUAAGUUUAUUUCUAAAUGAAAUAAAUGAAGCGGGUAACGUACUACCUAUCUCUCAAAAAAAUAUAUAUGUACAUAAUAAAUAUAUUAUUAUAUUAAUAAUAUUUUAUUUUAUUAGCCAUAUUCAUGUCAUAUAUCCGUGUCCUAAUUUUUUGGAAGUUAUUGAAUCGUCGUGUUCGAUCGUGCCGUAUUCCGUGUUCCGUGUCCCGUGUCCGUUUUGG